UACGUAGGGGCAAGCGUUGUCCGGAUUCAUUGGGCGUAAAGAGCGUGUAGGCGGCCAGGUAGGUCGGUUGUGAAAACUGGAGGCUCAACCUUCAGAGGUCGACCGAAACCAUCUGGCUAGAGUCCGGGAGAGGAGAGUGGAAUUCCUGGUGUAGCGGUGAAAUGCGCAGAUAUCAGGAAGAACACCCGUGGCGAAAGCGGCUCUCUGGAACGGUACUGACGCUGAAGACGCGAAAGCGUGGGGAGCGAACAGG
rnacentral:rRNA from 1 species